CUGCUCAAUGAAUUUAAAUUUAAAUGGCUGCAGUAUUUAUAACUGUACAAAGGUAGCAUAAUAAUUUGUUUUUUAAAUGGAAACUGGAAUGAAAGAUUAAAUGAAAUAUAAACUUUUUUAAUUUAAUUAAUAAAUUAAUUUAUAAAUUAAGUAAAAAAACUUAACUAUUUUUAAAAGACGAUAAGACCCUUUAGAAUUUUAUUAAUUUAAAAAUAUAAAUUUUAUUAAUUUAAAUUAUAUUUUUUGAUUAAUUUUUUUGGGGUAAAAGAAAAAUAAAUUGAAUUUUUUUAAAUUUUUACAAAAAUUUUUGAGUUUUGAAUUUUAUAUUUUAAAUUAUUAAAAUUAAUUACCUAAGGGAUAACAGCAUAAUUUUUUUUUUAAGUUCAAAUUUUAAAAAGAGUUUAUGACCUCGAUGUUGAAUUAAGGUAAAAUUUUAAUGAAAAAAUUUAAAAUUUAAGUCUGUUCGACU
rnacentral:rRNA from 1 species